UUGUAUUUCUCGCUGGUUUUCCUGAAAAGAGUUGGUUGUCAAAUCUUCAUCUGAUGCCACAGAGUUGGUAAUAUUUGCAACAUAUUUUUUGCUUACCAAUAUAUGUUCUUCCGACACUUCAUCUGAACCAUUUGUAGAGGGUAUCUUUACUGCAUCUGAACUCGAGGCAUUUUCCUGUUUGGCAGAAAUUUGUAAAUAAGUUUCACGAAGAGAUGCAAACUCAAGUUCAAAUAGCUUGAAAGUUUCUUGGCAUCAAGUUAUUACCUCAUGAGCUGCUAUGUCAACUGCAUUUGUCAUAUGAAGAUCCCUGAGGUAAAUUUCUUCUUCAUUUAACUCUGUAAUUUCUGCUUUGGUCUCAACAGCAUCAAUCUCUUUGGGUACCUGUAGAUUCCAUGAAAGGUGAAUCUGUGAUAGCAAUGUUUUGUUGUUUCCCCCUUAUUUUUAGGUCUACUAGGUUGUCAAUGCUGAAACGUCACAUAGCUACAACUAUCUGUUAGUUCAUAUUCAAACAAAUUUACAUCUCUAGUUGUACUUGUAAAUUUAAGUCUAUUAAAAAAAUUAUCCUCUUAAAUGUAUGUACCUUUUUCAUCCUUCAGUCAUGUAGUAUUUAUUUUCAUGCUUAACAGUGGUUUUCCUACCUAGUUGACAAUAAAGUUAAGAGUAUGAUUCUCACCUUAUCCUUAGAAGUUUCUUCACUCAGAUCAGUUGGAUCAGUUGUUUCGUCCUCUUUUUCCUCGGCCAUGUUUCCUGUAGGAUCUGCGAUUAGGCUUUGCUCCUCUAGAGAACUAAUUUCUCUAUCUUCACAUGAAGCAGGUGCUUUAAUAUCCCCGUCUGCAAAUUGCAUAGACUCGGUUUCUUCUUUUAUCAGUGUACCUUCUGCAGUUUUCUCAUUUUCAAACAAGUUUGCUUUUAUUAAGUUUUCAUCCACAAAUUUGGCCUGAUGCAUAAUUAUGGAGUCAUGAUCUUCGGCAUUUCCCAGAGGAGCUUCUUCCAAAGAAGGGUUUUGUGAGCUUUCUGCUUCGGUUGGUGAGUUAUCUUCAUCAUCUCCAUUUGGGACAUUUGUUGUAAUAUCCUAAAAUGACAGUAAAAGCUUGUUUUCAGGUUAAAGAAGAAAAAUUUAUUCUUCAUUUUGUGAUGUACUAAAUAAGCUAACAGUUAUAGAGAGAGAAUGAUUUUUACCUGAGCCUCAAGACAAUCCUCCUUUGCAUCAGUUACAUCAGUAGUUUGUUCAUUAAUUUCGUCACCCAAGGUUUCUUGUGCUUCUGCAGUUGGAGUUUCCACAUCGAUAGAACUUGGUGAGUUAUCUUCAUUCUGUUCCCUUUGAACAUCUGUGUCAACAUCCCGUACCUCAAGAGUUUGCCCCUCUGU
rnacentral:lncRNA from 1 species